GUGAGGAAUAUUGGACAAUGGGCGCAAGCCUGAUCCAGCCAUGCCGCGUGCAGGAAGACGCAUCUAUGGUGUGUAAACUGCUUUUGUACGGGAAGAAACACUCCCUCGUGAGGGAGCUUGACGGUACCGUAAGAAUAAGGAUCGGCUAACUCCGUGCCAGCAGCCGCGGUAAUACGGAGGAUCCAAGCGUUAUCCGGAAUCAUUGGGUUUAAAGGGUCCGUAGGCGGUUUAAUAAGUCAGUGGUGAAAGCCCAUCGCUCAACGAUGGAACGGCCAUUGAUACUGGUAGACUUGAAUUACAAGGAAGUAACUAGAAUAUGUAGUGUAGCGGUGAAAUGCUUAGAUAUUACAUGGAAUACCAAUUGCGAAGGCAGGUUACUACUUGUGGAUUGACGCUGAUGGACGAAAGCGUGGGGAGCGAACAGGAUUAGAUACCCGUGUAGUCC
rnacentral:rRNA from 1 species